AAGUCGAACGCGUUGGCCCAAUUGAUUGAUGGUGCUUGCACCUGAUUGAUUUUGGUCGCCAACGAGUGGCGGACGGGUGAGUAACACGUAGGUAACCUGCCCAGAAGCGGGGGACAACAUUUGGAAACAGAUGCUAAUACCGCAUAACAGCGUUGUUCGCAUGAACAACGCUUAAAAGAUGGCUUCUCGCUAUCACUUCUGGAUGGACCUGCGGUGCAUUAGCUUGUUGGUGGGGUAACGGCCUACCAAGGCGAUGAUGCAUAGCCGAGUUGAGAGACUGAUCGGCCACAAUGGGACUGAGACACGGCCCAUACUCCUACGGGAGGCAGCAGUAGGGAAUCUUCCACAAUGGGCGCAAGCCUGAUGGAGCAACACCGCGUGAGUGAAGAAGGGUUUCGGCUCGUAAAGCUCUGUUGUUAAAGAAGAACACGUAUGAGAGUAACUGUUCAUACGUUGACGGUAUUUAACCAGAAAGUCACGGCUAACUACGUGCCAGCAGCCGCGGUAAUACGUAGGUGGCAAGCGUUAUCCGGAUUUAUUGGGCGUAAAGAGAGUGCAGGCGGUUUUCUAAGUCUGAUGUGAAAGCCUUCGGCUUAACCGGAGAAGUGCAUCGGAAACUGGAUAACUUGAGUGCAGAAGAGGGUAGUGGAACUCCAUGUGUAGCGGUGGAAUGCGUAGAUAUAUGGAAGAACACCAGUGGCGAAGGCGGCUACCUGGUCUGCAACUGACGCUGAGACUCGAAAGCAUGGGUAGCGAACAGGAUUAGAUACCCUGGUAGUCCAUGCCGUAAACGAUGAGUGCUAGGUGUUGGAGGGUUUCCGCCCUUCAGUGCCGGAGCUAACGCAUUAAGCACUCCGCCUGGGGAGUACGACCGCAAGGUUGAAACUCAAAGGAAUUGACGGGGGCCCGCACAAGCGGUGGAGCAUGUGGUUUAAUUCGAAGCUACGCGAAGAACCUUACCAGGUCUUGACAUCUUGCGCCAACCCUAGAGAUAGGGCGUUUCCUUCGGGAACGCAAUGACAGGUGGUGCAUGGUCGUCGUCAGCUCGUGUCGUGAGAUGUUGGGUUAAGUCCCGCAACGAGCGCAACCCUUGUUACUAGUUGCCAGCAUUAAGUUGGGCACUCUAGUGAGACUGCCGGUGACAAACCGGAGGAAGGUGGGGACGACGUCAGAUCAUCAUGCCCCUUAUGACCUGGGCUACACACGUGCUACAAUGGACGGUACAACGAGUCGCGAACUCGCGAGGGCAAGCAAAUCUCUUAAAACCGUUCUCAGUUCGGACUGCAGGCUGCAACUCGCCUGCACGAAGUCGGAAUCGCUAGUAAUCGCGGAUCAGCAUGCCGCGGUGAAUACGUUCCCGGGCCUUGUACACACCGCCCGUCACACCAUGAGAGUUUGUAACACCCAAAGUCGGCUGGGGUAACCUUUUAGGAGCCAGCC
rnacentral:rRNA from 1 species